CGAGCCGGGCGGACGGCCGCGUGGAGUCCCCUUGAGGGGCUUCCCGAGGAACGUCCGGGCUCCACAGGGCAGGGUGGUGGCUAACGGCCACCCGGGGUGACCCGCGGGACAGUGCCACAGAAAACAAACCGCCCAGCGCUCAGGUGCUGGGUAAGGGUGAAACGGUGGUGUAAGAGACCACCAGUGCCCAGGGUGACCUGGGCAGCUAGGUAAACCCCACCCGGAGCAAGGUCAAAAGGGAGCGCCUUGGCGCUCCUGCGGAGGCGUUCGAGGGCUGCCCGCCCGAGCCCCCGGGUAGACCGCACGAGGCCGGUGGCAACGCCGGCCCUAGAUGGAUGGCCGUCUCCCCGGCCGCCGCGAGGCGACCGGGUGACAGAACCCGGCGUACAGCCCGACUCGUCUG
rnacentral:RNase_P_RNA from 1 species